GCCAGAGUGGUGCAGUGGUUUGGGUGUUGUAGUAUAACUCUGAAGACCAGGGUUCGAUUCCCAGCUUGGUUA